UAGCAUAUCAAUAGCGAGAAAAGAAACUAACAAGGAUUCCCCUAGUAACUGCGAGUGAAGCGGGAAAAGCUCAAAUUUCAAAUCUGGCGGUCAUGCCGUCCGAGUUGUAUUCUGGAGAAGCGUUUUCCGUGCCGGACCGUGUACAAGUCCCUUGGAACAGGGCGUCGUAGAGGGUGAGAAUCCCGUCUUUGACACGGACCACCGGCGCUAUGCGAUGCGCUCUCGACGAGUCGAGUUGUUUGGGAAUGCAGCUCAAAAUGGGUGGUAAAUUCCAUCUAAAGCUAAAUAUUGGCGAGAGACCGAUAGCGAACAAGUACCGUGAGGGAAAGAUGAAAAGCACUUUGGAAAGAGAGUAAAACAGUACGUGAAAUUGUUGAAAGGGAAACGCUUGAAGUCAGUCGCGUCUGCCGGAACUCAGCCUUGCUUCUGCUUGGCGCACUUUCCGGCCCGACGGGCCAGCAUCGGUUUUGGGUGUCGGACACUGGCGAGGGGAAGGUGGCAGCUCCGGCUGUGUUAUAGCCCCUCGUCGCAAACGCCGCCUGGGACCGAGGAAUCCGGCGCAAGCCUGGGAUGCUGGCGUAAUGGCUUUAAACGACCCGUCUUGAAACACGGACCAAGGAGUGCUACGUGCUCGCGAGUGUUUGGGUGGAAAACCCAGACGCGCAAUGAAAGUGAAAGUCGAUACCCCUUGCGGGGGCACCGACGCCCGAGCCUGAUGUUUUCGGAAGGCCUUGCGGUAGAGCGAGUGCGUUGCGACCCGAAAGAUGGUGAACUAUUCCUGAGCAGGGCGAAGCCAGAGGAAACUCUGGUGGAGGCUCGUAGCGGUUCUGACGUGCAAAUCGAUCGCAGGACUUGGGUAUAGGGGCGAAAGACUAAUCGAACCAUCUAGUAGCUGGUUCCUGCCGAAGUUUCCCUCAGGAUAGCAGAAGCUCAUAUCAGAUUUAUGUGGUAAAGCGAAUGAUUAGAGGCCUUGGGGUUGAAACAACCUUAACCUAUUCUCAAACUUUAAAUAUGUAAGGACGAGCCGUCUCUUGAUUGGACCGCUCGACGAUUGAGAGCUUCUAGUGGCCAUUUUUGGU
rnacentral:rRNA from 1 species